rnacentral:lncRNA from 1 species
AAAAAGUGUGAAAAUUUUAAAUUGAUAUCAACAGUUCAAUCAUUAGUUAUUGAGGUUCCAUUUUUCUAUAGGAUUUGUAAAGAGUUUGUUUAAGAUCUAGGAUUUGAUUAAGAUUUGGUUUAAGAUUUGGUUUAGGAUUUUGUCUAAGGUUUGGUUAGGAUGAGGGUUUGCUUGGAAUUUGGUCUAGAAUUUGUCUAGGAUUUGUCUAGGAUUUAGGGUUUUGUUUGAAUUUGAUAUAGGAUUUGGUUAAGGUUUAAUUAGAGUUUCAAUUAGAAUUGAAGUGUUUUUCAAA